GGGUUCAAGGGGGUACGGAAAAGCCGGGGAGGGGACUCGGUCCGGGGCCGGAGACCGACGGCAACAGCGGCUCAGGACCCACGCUGCCCCCACCCCUCCCGAGCAGGCGCCCCCAUGGCCCGACCCCGCUGAUUCCUUCACUCGGCCAUGCUCCCGCGGCCCCUGCGGCUGCUUUUGGACACGAGCCCCCCCGGGGGAGUCGUACUGAGCAGCUUCCGAAGCCGGGACCCCGAAGAGGGUGGGGGCCCAGGUGGCCUGGUCGUGGGCGGGGGGCAGGAGGAAGAGGAGGAGGAAGAAGAAGAGGCCCCUGUGUCCGUCUGGGAUGAGGAGGAGGAUGGUGCCGUGUUUACCGUCACAAGCCGCCAAUAUCGACCUCUUGAUCCCUUGGUCCCUAUGCCUCCCCCACGUUCCUCCCGACGGCUCCGAGCUGGCACUCUGGAGGCCCUGGUCAGACACCUACUGGAUACCCGGACAUCAGGGACUGAUGUGAGCUUCAUGUCAGCCUUCCUGGCUACCCACCGGGCCUUCACCUCCACGCCUGCCUUGCUAGGGCUUAUGGCUGACAGGCUGGAAGCCCUUGAAUCUCAUCCUACCGACGAACUAGAGAGGACAACAGUAGCCAUCUCUGUACUGUCAACCUGGCUGGCCUCUCACCCUGAGGAUUUUGGCUCUGAGGCCAAGGGUCAGCUUGACCGGCUUGAGAGCUUCUUACUUCAGACAGGGUAUGCAGCAGGGAAGGGUGUUGGGGGGGGCAGCGCUGACCUCAUCCGCAAUCUCCGGUCCCGGGUGGACCCCCAGGCCCCCGACCUUCCUAAGCCCCUGGCCCUCCCCGGCGAUCCCCCUGCUGACCCCACGGAUGUCCUGGUGUUCCUCGCUGACCACUUGGCCGAACAGCUGACCCUGCUAGAUGCGGUGAGACCCUGACCUCUGGCCCCUAUGCCCCCUGACCCCUUACUAACCUCUCCUUGACUCCAGAUCCUUUCCUUGCUUCCACCCCUUCCUGAUCCAGCUCCUAGCCUCCUCCACCUACCAUUUUGAUUCUCCCCUUUUCCCUUUGGUCGUUACCCUUCAAACCCUGUGCCCCUCUGGUUCCUUGGCCACCUGAGAUCCUCAGAUCCCUGAUAUUGGAAGGCUGACCUCACUUGACUAUGAACUUUAACCUCUGACCUCUACCCUGCAGGAACUUUUUCUCAAUUUGAUCCCCUCUCAGUGCCUGGGAGGCCUGUGGGGUCACAGAGACCGGCCAGGACAUUCUCACCUCUGCCCAUCUGUCCGAGCUACUGUCACACAGUUUAACAAGGUGGCAGGGGCAGUGGUUAGUUCUGUCCUGGGGGCUACUUCCACUGGAGAGGGACCUGGGGAGGUGACCAUACGGCCACUCCGUCCCCCACAGAGGGCCCGGCUCCUGGAGAAGUGGAUCCGCGUGGCAGAGGAGUGCCGGCUGCUCCGAAACUUCUCUUCAGUUUAUGCCGUGGUGUCAGCCCUGCAGUCCAGCCCCAUCCACAGGCUUCGGGCAGCCUGGGGGGAAGCAACCAGGGACAGCCUCAGAGUCUUUUCCAGCCUCUGCCAGAUUUUCUCCGAGGAGGAUAAUUAUUCCCAGAGUCGGGAGCUGCUCGUGCAGGAGGUGAAGCUGCAGUCUCCUCUGGAGCCACACUCCAAGAAGGCCCCGAGGUCUGGCUCCCGGGGUGGGGGUGUGGUCCCAUACCUUGGCACCUUCCUGAAGGACCUUGUGAUGCUGGAUGCAGCCUCCAAGGAUGAGUUGGAGAAUGGAUACAUCAAUUUUGACAAGCGGAGGAAGGAGUUUGCAGUCCUUUCUGAGUUGCGACGGCUCCAGAAUGAAUGUCGUGGCUAUAACCUCCAACCUGACCAUGAUAUCCAGAGGUGGCUACAGGGGCUCCGGCCACUGACAGAGGCUCAGAGCCAUCGUGUAUCCUGUGAGGUGGAGCCACCUGGUUCCAGUGACCCUCCUGCCCCACGGGUGCUUCGGCCAACAUUGGUCAUCUCGCAGUGGACAGAGGUUUUGGGCUCUGUUGGGGUCCCUACCCCGCUUGUGUCCUGUGACCGGCCCAGUACUGGGGGAGAUGAGGCGCCUACAACUCCUGCUCCUCUGCUGACUCGGCUGGCCCAGCACAUGAAGUGGCCAUCUGUCUCGUCACUAGACUCUGCCUUGGAAAGCAGUCCAUCCCUGCACAGUCCAGCUGACCCCAGCCACCUCUCCCCACCAGCCUCCUCCCCUAGGCCUUCUCGAGGUCACCGCCGCUCAGCCUCCUGUGGCUCCCCGCUGAGUGGGGGUGCAGAAGAGGCCUCCGGGGGGACUGGAUAUGGGGGAGAGGGAUCUGGGCCAGGGGCCUCUGAUUGCCGUAUCAUCCGAGUCCAGAUGGAGUUGGGGGAAGAUGGCAGUGUCUAUAAGAGCAUUUUGGUGACAAGCCAGGACAAGGCUCCAAGUGUCAUCAGUCGUGUCCUUAAGAAAAACAAUCGUGACUCUGCAGUGGCUUCAGAGUAUGAGCUGGUACAGCUGCUACCAGGGGAGCGAGAGCUGACUAUCCCAGCCUCGGCUAAUGUAUUCUACGCCAUGGAUGGAGCUUCACACGAUUUCCUCCUGCGGCAGCGGCGAAGGUCCUCUACUGCUACACCUGGCGUCACCAGUGGCCCGUCUGCCUCAGGAACUCCUCCGAGUGAGGGAGGAGGGGGCUCCUUUCCCAGGAUCAAGGCCACAGGGAGGAAGAUUGCACGGGCACUGUUCUGAGGAGGAAGCCCCGUUGGCUUACAGAAGUCAUGGUGUUCAUACCAGAUGUGGGUAGCCAUCCUGAAUGGUGGCAAUUAUAUCACAUUGAGACAGAAAUUCAGAAAGGGAGCCAGCCACCCUGGGGCAGUGAAGUGCCACUGGUUUACCAGACAGCUGAGAAAUCCAGCCCUGUGGGAACUGGUGUCUUAUAACCAAGUUGGAUACCUGUGUAUAGCUUCCCACCUUCCAUGAGUGCAGCACACAGGUAGUGCUGGAAAAACGCAUCAGUUUCUGAUUCUUGGCCAUAUCCUAACAUGCAAGGGCCAAGCAAAGGCUUCAAGGCUCUGAGCCCCAGGGCAGAGGGGAAUGGCAAAAUGUAGGUCCUCGCAGGAGCUCUUCUUCCCACUCUGGGGGUUUCUAUCACUGUGACAACACUAAGAUAAUAAACCAAAACACUACC
rnacentral:misc_RNA from 1 species